UACGUAGGUGACAAGCGUUGUCCGGAUUUACUGGGCGUAAAGAGCGCGCAGGCGGUCGUUCAAGUCGAGUGUGAAGGCCCCCGGCUCAACUGGGGAGGGUCAUUCGAUACUGAUCGACUCGAAGGCAGGAGAGGGUAGUGGAAUUCCCGGUGUAGCGGUGAAAUGCGUAGAUAUCGAGAGGAACACCUGCGGCGAAGGCGGGUUGCUGGGCUGACACUGACGCUGAUGCGCGAAAGCCAGGGGAGCGAACGGG
rnacentral:rRNA from 1 species